UACGUAGGGUGCGAGCGUUGUCCGGAAUUAUUGGGCGUAAAGAGCUUGUAGGCGGUCUGUCGCGUCUGCUGUGAAAAUCCGGGGCUCAACCCCGGACUUGCAGUGGGUACGGGCAGACUAGAGUGUGGUAGGGGAGACUGGAAUUCCUGGUGUAGCGGUGAAAUGCGCAGAUAUCAGGAGGAACACCGAGUGGCGAAGGCAGGUCUCUGGGCCACUACUGA
rnacentral:rRNA from 1 species